CGGUGCUGACGAGCGGCGAACGGGUGAGUAANGNGUAGGAAUCUACCCAGUAGCGGGGGAUAGCCCGAGGAAACUCGGAUUAAUACCGCAUACGCCCUGAGGGGGAAAGGGGGCAGUUUACUGCUCUCACUAUUGGAUGAGCCUGCGUAAGAUUAGCUUGUUGGUGGGGUAAUGGCCUACCAAGGCAACGAUCUUUAGCUGGUCUGAGAGGACGAUCANCCACAUUGGGACUGAGACACGGCCCAGACAUYUACGGAUGGCAGCAGUUAAGAAUAUUGGACAAUGGGGGCAACCCUGAUCCAGGUAUNNCGCGUGUGUGAAGAAGGCCCUAGGGUUGUAAAGCACUUUAAUCAGAGAAGAAGCAUUUUAAGUUAAUACCUUAAUAUGUUGACGUUACCUGAAGAAUAAGGACCGGCUAACUCCGUGCCAGCAGCCGCGGUAAUACGGAGGGUNCNAGCGUUAAUNGGAAUUACUGGGCGUAAAGCGCGCGUNGGCGGUUUAGUAAGUUGUAUGUGAAANCCCNGGGCUCAACNUNGGAACUGCAUUCAAAACUANUNANCUAGAGUNCGAGAGAGGAGAGUAGAAUUUNNGGUGUAGCGGUGAAAUGCGUAGAUAUCNGAAGGAAUACCAAUGGCGAAGGCAGCUNNNUGGCUCGUCACUGACGNUGAGGUGCGAAAGCGUGGGUAGCAAAC
rnacentral:rRNA from 1 species